rnacentral:rRNA from 1 species
UAUCUCUGUAGAGUCUGCAUAUCAAUAAGCGGAGGAAAAGAAACUAACUAGGAUUCUCCUAGUAACGGCGAGUGAAGCGGGAAGAGCUCAAAUUUGAAAUCUUAAAGGGUUCUACCUUGACGAAUUGUAGUUUAAAGAAGUGUUUUCUGUUGGAGUUUUGGUAAAGUUCUUUGGAAUAGGACAUCAUAGAGGGUGAGAAUCCCGUAUUUGACCAUUAUUUCCAGCUUUGUGAUACACCUUCAAAGAGUCGGAUUGUUUGGGAAUGCAGUCCAAAAUGGGUGGUAAAUUUCAUCUAAAGCUAAAUAUUGGCGAGAGACCGAUAGCGAACAAGUACCGUGAGGAAAAGAUGAAAAGAACUUUGAAAAGGGAGUUAAACAGUACGUGAAAUUGUCAAAAGGGAAGCGUUUGACACCAGUGUUGUUUUCUCGAAAAUCAAUUAAAAAAAGUUGGAUUUUGUAUUGUUAAGACCUUAUCAGCUUACUGUACUCUUUUCUUGCUUUUUUUAAUGCACUUUUCGUUUAACAAGUCAACAUCAAUUUCUUUUGUUGUAAAAGAGUCAUUGGAAGGUGGCUUUCACUUCGGUGAAAGUGUUUAUAGCCUUUGGCCUCUGCAAUCGGAGAGAUUGAGGUCUGCAGCGUAGAUCCUUCGGGGUUAGAUACAUUUGUGCUAAGUUAUAGCCUUUCAUAGGCAACUUGUUGACUAUGAUCAGUCAUGUAGCUUACUCGCUUAUGCUAUUUUACCUACGCUUAGGAUGUUGACGAUCAGCUGAGCGCG